UAUAAUUGGUGUUUCUUCUAUUUACUGAACGGACCAUCCGAAAUUAACGCUGGUAAUUAAUCAUUUACCACUCCAAGAAACACGUCUCAACAGAGCACACGAUGUUGACUCUCCAUCUACAGCAGCGGCGACUGGAUUUCGACGAUGAUUGCUUCAGUGUUUCGACGUUGAAUAUCAUAUACGCCUACGGCAUCGCCGCCCUUCUCCUUCUCUCAUCCGCUUGUUUCCUCGAAAAUCAGAUUUUCGUGACUAUUCGGUCAUCUUCUAUUCGAUCUAUCGGUUAACUCUCCUCGAUGAAGCUCUUUCUCUAGCUCUGAUUUGAUUGGACUUUAUCUGGUAAGUUUUAUGAUUUAAUUUGGUCCAUAUUGAGGGUUUAAGAUUUAAAGACCCACCUUUUCUAUUGAAACUUGGAUCUUGAUUUUGUGAAUUCUGGAUUAGAACAUUUAGAAUUUGCGUGUUGGGAUGUUUUAAUUUUUAUUGAUUGACUGAAUUUACAUUUUGUAUUGUCUAUCAAUCCAUCAUUGGGGUCUCACGUGUUAAACUCAGAAUAUAAAAUUAUCAAGCUAUGUGAUUGUUGGGGUUUUGUUUUGUCCUACCAUUCCAAUCAUCUACGACGAUAUUCUAAAAUAUCAUCCAAUAUUUUGUGCCUUACCUCUUUGCAUUCGAGAUUUUCACUAGCACUUCAUCUGCAAGCUAUUUGAGGUAUAAACUACACAUUUGCACAGCUGAUCAAUUCUUGAUUUGGCCAUUUGAUUGAAUUCGUAGUAUAUGUUGUGAUUGCUAUGUUUGAAGAAGAUGAUAAUUCUUGUUGUAUUUUAGUGGCAUUGCUAAGUUGAAGUUGAAUUAUGUAUUUUCUAAUUUGUGAUUUAUUGAUUAGGCUGCAUUUGGUGUAUGGAAGAGUCUGAUUCCGUGAGCAAGACAAGAUGAUUGGUUUAGUGAAAGUUGUCAAGGUGGGAUGGGUGCUCGUCCGAGAAAGUGAUAUGCAAACAAGAUUUGUGGCUUCAAAAUCACUUGAACAACUAUUCAUAGUGUUGAAGUAGAUAUUCGAUUACUUUGUUCACUUAUUCAUAAUAUGUUCAUUCAUAAAAAUCUGUAAUAUAUUUAUUUAAUUUAACUUAUUGUUUGGAACUUAUUGUGUGAUAUUCAUUACUGAAUAAUAGUUAUUUAGAACUUAUUCAUAACUGAAUAGUAGUUAUUCGAAA
rnacentral:lncRNA from 1 species